AGAAAGCAAGAAAGCAAGAAAGAAGGCACCUGAAUUCUGAACAAGAUAGCAAGAGGAGGCAUUUGAUUCCAAAGAAGAAAACUGUCCACGGCAGGUUGAGGCUACAGGGGCAGACCUGACUGUUUUUCUCUCCAUCCAGCUACGUUACUUUGUGGCCCUCCAAAACCAGCGAUUCCUGUGGAUCAGCGCUCAGAGUGGUAUGUCCAAAUUGCCUCUAAGUUGAUGGCAACAACUAAUAAAUACUAAUUCCUGUCAACAAGUGCAUUGUCAAAUGGGAAUAUCUGUAAUGUAGUCUGACUACUUAAAUCACUCUGCUUAAGGACCAAGGGAAAAAAUUCUAUUGAUGAUCAUCAGAUACGUGUUGUUGUUUCUAGAAAAUGUCUUAUUUCUGGUCUUCAUAUGGAACUGGGUGUAGAAUGGAUUUAAAAGGUAAACUUUUUGAAAAGAAAUGGUUUAGUUUACCCAACCAUGUGUGAGUGAGUACAUCCUCUUGUAAUAACCCAUGUCCUAACAGUUAGCCAGGAAAUGGUUCACAUUCAGUGUUGAGUAGAGGUUUUGUAAAGUACGUAUUUGAGAUUCAGAAUCUGAAACCUUAAAAGCUUUGUUUUGAAGAGUGAUUUUGUCUACUGAUGUUAGCGCUAAAGUAACUGAGUGGGAGAGAGGGAAGAUAUUGUUAACUUCUACACAUUUUCCCAACAGAUCACGUAUCAAAAGUAUAAUUUGUAGGAGGAAUACAAACUGGUGAAAUGUAUCUCUGAUGCUGG